UACGGGGGAGCAAGCGUUGUUCGGAAUUACUGGGCGUAAAGGGCGCGUAGGCGGGAUGGCAAGUCGGUCGUGAAAUCCCUCGGCUCAACCGAGGAACGUCGAUCGAUACUGCUGUUCUUGAGGAUUGCAGAGGAGACUGGAAUUCCCGGUGUAGCGGUGAAAUGUGUAGAGAUCGGGAGGAACACCGGUGGCGAAGGCGGGUCUCUGGGCAAUUCCUGACGCGAGGCGCGAAAGCGUGGGGAGCAAACGGG
rnacentral:rRNA from 1 species